rnacentral:tRNA from 1 species
AUUUAAAUAGCUUAAAUUUAGAGUGUAAUAUUGAAGAUAUUAAGGUAAUAAGUAUAUUUUUAAAUA